GUUGGUCUCAUUGGAUUUUAAUGUGUUUAAUUUGUUCCAAAUAUUUUAAUGGUGUAAUUAUGAGUGAAAUAACUUUUUUGUAGUGUGCAAAACUUAAUUUAAUUAAUUCAAGAGUCGGAAUAAUAAGUGGAAGAUUAUUACAAAUUUGCCUUAUCUUAACUCUUGUUUUGAUUUAUUGUUGAGAAUAUUGUGUUAUUUUUAUUUUUAAUAUUUGGUGUG
rnacentral:lncRNA from 1 species